GCCAGCAGCCGCGGUAAUACGGAGGGUGCGAGCGUUAAUCGGAAUUACUGGGCGUAAAGCGCAUGCAGGCGGCCUGUUAAGUCAGAUGUGAAAGACCCGGGGCGUUAACCUCGGAAUUGCAUUUGAAACUGGCAGGCUAGAGUCUUGUAGAGGGGGGUAGGAAGUUUCAGGUGUAGCGGUGAAAUAGCGUAGAGAUCUGAAGGAAUACCAGUGGCGAAGGCGGCCCCCUGGACAAAGACUGACGCUCAGAUGCGAAAGCGUGGGGAGCAAACAGGAUUAGAUACCCCUGGUAG
rnacentral:rRNA from 1 species